rnacentral:lncRNA from 1 species
GGACGAGGGCGACGGCACUAAGCGCUGUUCCUGCUGUACCAGCAGCACUUACGUUACGAUCGCGGGCAGAAGCAGAAGCAUCGGAACGGGGAAGGAAGGAGCCGAGAAGCAGCCGCAGGCGGACGUGGACCCUGACGCCUGCCGCACGCACGACAAGGCCAAAGUCUUUGCUCGCUGCGCCCGUGACCUCGAUCCGAUGGAUAUCCUCCUCCGUCCGCCUCCCCGUCUCGAGCCGAGACAGGGGGGGCCUGCCGCUUUGGUUAGUCCACGGUCAAAGUCCGCCUUGACCUUUGACUAGUCUAACCCUCUCUGUUUUCUGGAGUGGAGUAGUGCUAUGCUACUACUCAAAAGGGUUUCUUUAUGAAACCUGUGGCUUGUGGCCUGG